UUUCCGUAGGUGAACCUGCGGAAGGAUCAUUACAGUGUUCCCUGCCCUUCGGGGUAGGAUCGCCACCCUUGAUUAUUUAUGAGUGUUGCUUUGGCGGGCCUCGCGGCCUGGCCGCGCCCCGGCUUCGGCGGGGGAGCGCCCGCCAGAGGAUUCUACAAACCUGAUUAUUAGUGUCGUCUGAGUACUAUAUAAUAGUUAAAACCUUCAACAACGGAUCUCUUGGUUCUG
rnacentral:misc_RNA from 1 species